GCAGUCGAGCGGAACGAGUUGUCUGAACCUUCGGGGAACGAUAACGGCGUCGAGCGGCGGACGGGUGAGUAAUGCCUGGGAAAUUGCCCUGAUGUGGGGGAUAACCAUUGGAAACGAUGGCUAAUACCGCAUAAUAGCUUCGGCUCAAAGAGGGGGACCUUCGGGCCUCUCGCGUCAGGAUAUGCCCAGGUGGGAUUAGCUAGUUGGUGAGGUAAUGGCUCACCAAGGCGACGAUCCCUAGCUGGUCUGAGAGGAUGAUCAGCCACACUGGAACUGAGACACGGUCCAGACUCCUACGGGAGGCAGCAGUGGGGAAUAUUGCACAAUGGGCGCAAGCCUGAUGCAGCCAUGCCGCGUGUAUGAAGAAGGCCUUCGGGUUGUAAAGUACUUUCAGCAGUGAGGAAGGUGGUAGUGUUAAUAGCACUAUCAUUUGACGUUAGCUGCAGAAGAAGCACCGGCUAACUCCGUGCCAGCAGCCGCGGUAAUACGGAGGGUGCGAGCGUUAAUCGGAAUUACUGGGCGUAAAGCGCAUGCAGGUGGUUUGUUAAGUCAGAUGUGAAAGCCCGGGGCUCAACCUCGGAAUUGCAUUUGAAACUGGCAGACUAGAGUACUGUAGAGGGGGGUAGAAUUUCAGGUGUAGCGGUGAAAUGCGUAGAGAUCUGAAGGAAUACCGGUGGCGAAGGCGGCCCCCUGGACAGAUACUGACACUCAGAUGCGAAAGCGUGGGGAGCAAACAGGAUUAGAUA
rnacentral:rRNA from 1 species